rnacentral:lncRNA from 1 species
AGGGAUGUUAAUUAACUAAAGUAGGCACUUAACUGAUAUUGACAAUAAUAAUAAAUAAUAAUAUAAACAAUCCACAAUUGUAAUAUUUUGUAUGAAAUGACUUCUUAUCUAUAGUCACUGUCAUAAUCAUGUAAAAUUGACAUUGAUUUGUGUCGAAAUUUUUUUUAAAUAUCAGUCGCAUUCACUUUCCAAUAGCGGAAGAAAACGCCAUUCCAAAUAUCCACAACUGUCCUACCUUUUAUUGUGUUUGCACUGUAUAAUCUUGACCUUCACAUAAUCCAAGAUUAGUUUGACAUUGUUAUUACCGGAAAUGUUGCCGUGGAGUUCCACCUGCUGUCUAUUAUCUCGUGUCUCUCGGAGCUGUUCAUAAUCUCUAUGCAAAAAAGCGCAGGAAAAUGUAUCAUCAAUGACAACGAUAUCACCGGAGAGUAACAAAUGUUAUGAAAUAAAAGAUCCUCAUUGAAACCAAGAUGGCGGUUAUACAAUGUAAAUAAUCUUGAAAAUGUGAAGGUUAGGAUUAUAUAGUGCAAACACAAUAAAAGGUAGGACAGUAGUGGAUAUUUGGAUAGGAUUUUUUCCUGCUAAUUGAAAAAUAUCAUCUCAAGUAAACGUGACAAAUAAUUUUUUUUUUUUUUUUUACAUAAAUCAUUGUGCCAAUUUUUCAUGACGGCGACUAUAUAUACGAGACACACAUUUCAUAAUUGAUGAUUCAUGUAUCCUUUGUCCCCUACUUAUUUAAACAAACCAAAAUCUAUUCUUGAAACUUUUAAAACAUUAUAAAUGUCCUAUUUUUGUUUUAACAUUAGGAUGUCCUAUUUCUUAGAACUAGAUUUAUAUGGCACAAAAUGAAACACAACCUUUCUAGAAACACCCUUCUGACUAUUAAAUUGUAUUUGCUAGACAAAUAUGAUUAAAAAUUUAAAUCUAUGUAUUUGAUGUAUAACUCACAGGUUUUUUUCUCACUGAAAUUCAAUUUUAUCUGAAGCUUUCACCUAAUAACUUUUGAAAAAAUAAAAUUUUGUGAAUUCUAUUAUUUUCAAAAGAUAAAACAUGUAUUUACAUUUAUAUACUGACCGACUUUAGAAACGCAACACUAGAUUAUUUUUGUGUUAUUUUUGAAUGAAUGUGUCAACGUCAAAAGCAAUGACUGCCUGUUACAAACGCCAAAAUGAUUGUCAGAAAGGUCAACAAAUUCUGUCUGACAUGUUUUGGGUUCUGUUUUACACCUUCUGAUUUUGUAUUUGUUCAACCCAUUAAUUGGUUUUGGCAAUUAUGCGGUUGGAACUUGAGGGCUUUACAGGUUUUCCUGCAGUCAAUUCUUUGGCAAUGCAGUUCAUGGGAAACAUUUAUGGCAUGAAUCUGUACUCAAUGGCACUCGGCAGUUGACGUUGCGGCCGUAAACAUGAUUGGCAAAUGACGUUGCAUAAUCAAAUUCUGUUGAUGUUUCAUUGUCACUACACGUUGAUCUGUUGAUUGAUGGUUAGCAACAAAUCUUGUUUACUUGUAUCGUUGUCGGAAGGACAGUAGGACGAGUUUCUGAAGUCAUACGGUAUGGUUGCAGCACAUUUAUGUUUUCAUGUUUGCAGUAUUCUUAAGGGCUAAUUCAGUUCUUUGUUUUUUUUUAUUUCUCAGACUUGGCAAAAUGCAGAUGCAACAUUUUUAAAAAAAAUAAGUAAGGCAAAAGAUUGAAAGAACUGUUUCACAAAGCAAAAAAAAACUGAAACAAUCUUUCAUGGGACCAAGAUUUCGCUUUACGAAAUUUGUGCGACUUCAAAAAUUCGGUAUGUUCAAUAACCACAGGUAAGUCAGAUUUUGAUUUUUUGUAAGGAGAAAGUAGCAUGAUAAGCAUGAAAAGUAGUUGUAAGAGAAUCAAAAAAGAUUUGGUAAAAAAAAUCAACAAAAUAAGUGUUGCGUUUCUAAAGUCGUUCAGUAUAAUUGAAUUAUAACUGUAUAUUGCAAUAAAUGACAAUCACAAUAAAAAUAAGGAGAUGUGGCAUGACUGACAAUGAGACAAGUGUCCAUAAAGGAUAAAGGUCGAGGAAAAAUAUGUGAAUAAUCACAGAUCAGCAUAUGACCUUCAACAAUGAGCAAAACCCAUAUUGUACAUGGUCAAUACAGUAAACAAAACCUGAGCACCAUUAUAAAUUAAGCACCUUAUCUGUGUCUAUCAAUUAUUACAUCAUCUUGACAUUUCCAAGAAAUAUAUUAAUACAAUUAUAAAAUAUACAAAGCUUUAUACAUAAAAAAUAGAAGAAAGAAAAUGUCCAUAGGAUACAGAUGCUACUGCAUGUAAAAGUGAGGCAAAUUCAGCAAUAUUUCCAUUUAUAGAGAGACAUGAUUUUUAACAGAAUCGUGGAAGUCACCAUACCCAAUUUUAACUUGAUCUGUGUUUGGUGAAACAAGCCUUGUGGUUAACUUUUAUAAAAUUUGGUUCAGGCAAACUAAAGUGAACUAAAAACCAAUUUUGUGUCAAGGGUAAAACUUAAUACCUAUCCCUUGGCAGCAAAGCAUUACAUAUUACAGACUUAGUAUUAAUAAAGCUAGAAUAAUAAAAGCUAUGAUAAAAAAAAAUGUCAUGCACAUACUUAGUUGUUAAGGCCCUGUUCCUUUCAGAGUCAACAGUUUUCAGAACAUUAAUGCCAAAUGAAUUGAAACUGCCAUUUAUAUAAUUUAGUCAUAAUUUUAUUGACAAUGUCAAUAUUGGUCAGACAGCUUGUAAAUCUAUCUAUUGAGAUUUUAAAUUUAUCUCUUUUAAGCUUCUCAGCCUACAUAACCAAGGAUGCCAUGAUAAAAUAUGGGUUUUACUUCCAAUCUUUUAUUAUUGCAAUGGAUUCCACAUUUAUUAGCAAAAUCUGAUAGAACUAUAUCCUUAGCAUGAUACCACCAAAUUUCUUUGAAAUAAUAGUUUUCGAGACUUGAAAAAAAUAAAUUAAUCAUAACAGAAUUACGGCGUCAUAUAAUAUAAU